GGGCUCGUGGCUCAGCCUGGUCAGAGCGCUCGACUGAUAAUCGAGAGGUCGAGGGUUCAAAUCCCUCCGAGCCCA
rnacentral:tRNA from 1 species